rnacentral:rRNA from 1 species
GGCGAGUGAAGUGGGAAGAGCUCAACUUUGUAAUCUGGCUGCUUCGCAGUCCGAGUUGUAGUCUAAAGAAGCAUGAUCCGCGCCGGACCUUGGGCAUGUCUGUUGGAAAGCAGUGUCAAAGAGGGUGAUAAUCCCGUACAUACCAAGGACGACCGUGUGCAUUGUGGUCUGCUCUCUAAGAGUCGAGUUGUUUGGGAAUGCAGCUCUAAUUGGGUGGUAAAUUCCAUCUAAAGCUAAAUAUCGACGAGAGACCGAUAGCGAACAAGUACAGUAAUGGAAAGAUGAAAAGUAGCCUGCAGAGGCAAUGAAACAAUACGUGAAACCGUUUGUAGGGAAGCGAUGGAACCUUUUCACGCUGCGAGGGUUCAGCCUUUCUUCGGAUUGGUGUAUUCCCUCGUUUUGCGGACCAGCAUCAGUUUGCUUGGCAGUAUAAGGGUGUUUGGAACGUGGCUCCCACGGGAGUGUUAUAGCCUUUCACUGGAUGCUGCCUCGCAGACUGAGGACUGCAGUGCGCCAUUAUGGCAUAGUCUUCGGGCUACGAGCACUUAGGAUGCUGGGCGAAUGGGUUUCAACGA